rnacentral:pre_miRNA from 1 species
UUUAAUUUUUAACUAAACGUCUUAUUCAAAAAUUUUUUGCGAUUGAUAUUUUUGUUUUUAUUAGAUGAUAAAUCAUGAAUAGUACUUGUGACUUUUUUUUUAAUUUUCUAAAAGUUUUUCAAAUAAGACGAAUGAUCAAACGUUGAACACGGAAACCGAAG